rnacentral:rRNA from 1 species
GACGAACCGUGCAAACGUUGUUCGGAUUCACUGGGCUUAAAGGGCGCGUAGGCGGGCCAUCAAGUCAGGGGUGAAAUCUUUCGGCUCAACCGGAAAAGUGCCUUUGAUACUGACGGUCUCGAGGGAGGUAGGGGCGAGCGGAACUGAUGGUGGAGCGGUGAAAUGCGUUGAUAUCAUCAGGAACUCCGGUGGCGAAGGCGGCUCGCUGGACCUCUUCUGACGCUGAGGCGCGAAAGCCAGGGGAGCAAACGGG